GACAGCGCUUCUCCAGGAACUCUUGGAAGCCCUGGACGCCCAUGCUUCGUCGGCGGGCAGACGAGACGGCGGCUGCGCGAGCAGGCUAGGCGCCGCUUUUCAUCGUUUCACAAGUGGUGAAGCCUCUUCCUUCCACCUCCGGAAGCCAUGUUGCCUAGUCUUGGUGGUACACACUUUCUAGAUGAAGAAAGGGGGACGGGACAGGGCGGGGCAGAGAGGCAUCCUGGGAGUUGUAGUGUUCUCUGCGAUCUCAGGAUACAGUCGAGGAACAAGAUUACCACCCAUGUCAGCCCUUGCGCUCACAGGGCGCAAGUGGUGGGGUGUGAUGAUAUGUGUUUCGCAUUUGCACUUCGACUCCUGGCAUCCACCGAGUUGCUUCAGGCUAUUUACUGCCGUUCCCAGGAAAAGAGAUUCAAGGGGAAAGGAGUGAUGCAUCAUGGGAAAGGAAGUGGAGCGGAUUAAGUCAAUUAUACUAAACUCCCCCCAAACGUGAUGAUGUCUCAGCUGGAGUGCAACGAGGUGAGGGACCCCCUCUCUACCACCUUCUCUACUUUAUCCUCAUGGUUGCAGCAGGAACCAUCCGUUACGUACCUUUUUUAGAGAAUUUGGGAUCGAGCUGGAAGAGAGAUGAAAAAUUGUGGCUACAUUCAAGCACCUGAUUUAAUUGCUCCUGAAGCCCAUCUGCAUU